UACGGAGGCAGCAGUGGGAAUCUUCCGCAAUGGGCGCAAGCCUGACGGAGCAACGCCGCGUGAGUGAAGAAGGUCUUCGGAUCGUAAAGCUCUGUUGAAGGGGACGAACGUACAUAGUGCGAAUAGUGCUGUGUAAUGACGGUACCUUUGAGAAGCCACGGCUAACUACGUGCCAGCAGCCGCGGUAAU
rnacentral:rRNA from 1 species